UGGGGAAUAUUGCACAAUGGGCGAAAGCCUGAUGCAGCGACGCCGCGUGAGCGAAGAAGUAUUUCGGUAUGUAAAGCUCUAUCAGCAGGGAAGAAAAUGACGGUACCUGACUAAGAAGCCCCGGCUAACUACGUGCCAGCAGCCGCGGUAAUACGUAGGGGGCAAGCGUUAUCCGGAUUUACUGGGUGUAAAGGGAGCGUAGGCGGCAAGACAAGUCUGAUGUGAAAGCCCGGGGCUCAACCCCGGGACUGCAUUGGAAACUGUUUAGCUAGAGUGUCGGAGAGGUAAGUGGAAUUCCUAGUGUAGCGGUGAAAUGCGUAGAUAUUAGGAGGAACAUCAGUGGCGAAGGCGACUUACUGGACGAUAACUGACGCUGAGGCUCGAAAGCGUGGGGAGCAAACAGG
rnacentral:rRNA from 2 species